rnacentral:rRNA from 1 species
UACAGAGGUCUCAAGCGUUGUUCGGAUUCAUUGGGCGUAAAGGGUGCGUAGGUGGCCAGGUAAGUCGGAUGUGAAAUCCCGGGGCUCAACCCCGGAACUGCAUUCGAUACUGCCCGGCUUGAGUACUGGAGAGGAGAUCGGAAUUUACGGUGUAGCAGUGAAAUGCGUAGAUAUCGUAAGGAAGACCAGUGGCGAAGGCGGAUCUCUGGACAGUUACUGACACUGAGGCACGAAGGCCAGGGGAGCAA